rnacentral:rRNA from 1 species
UACGUAGGGGGCAAGCGUUGUCCGGAAUCAUUGGGCGUAAAGCGCGCGUAGGCGGUUACUUAAGUUGGAUGUGAAAGCCCUCGGCUUAACCGAGGAAGUGCAUCCAAAACUGAGUAGCUAGAGUACGAAAGAGGGUCGCGGAAUUCCCGGUGUAGAGGUGAAAUUCGUAGAUAUCAGGAGGAACACCGGUGGCGAAGGCGGGUCUGCUGGGCCGAUACUGACGCUGAGGAGCGAAAGCGUGGGGAGCGAACAGG